AUCUAGGUGUCUGGCUAGACUGUAAACUCUCCUUCCAGACUCAUAUUUAACAUCUCCAAUCCAAAAUUAAAUCUAGAAUUGGCUUUCUAUUCCGCCUUCACUCACACCGCCAAACAUUCCCUGGUAAAACUGACUAUCCUACCUAUCCUUGACUUCGGCAAUGUCAUUUACAAAAUAGCCUCCAACACUACUCAGCAAAUUGGAUGCAGUCUAUCACAGUGCCAUCCGUUUUGUCACCAAAGCCCCAUAUACCCCCCCACCACUGCAACCUGUAUGCUCUAAUCGGCUGGCCCUCACUACAUAUUUGUCGCCAGACCCGCUGGCUCUAGGUCAACUAUAAGUCUUUGCUAGGUAAAGCUCCGCCUUAUCUCAGCUCACUGGUCACGAUAACAACACCCACCCGUAGUACGCGCUCCAGCAGGUAUAUAUCACUGGUCAUCCCCGAAGCCAACACCUCUUUGGCCGCCUUUCCUUCCAGUUCUCUGCUGCCAAUGACUGGAACGAAUUGCAAAAAUCGCUGAAGCUGGAGACUUAUAUUUCCCUCACUAACUUUAAGCAUCAGCUAUCAGAGCAGCUAACCGAUCGCUGCAGCUGUACAUAGCCCAUCUGUAAAUAGCCCAUCCAAUCUACCUACCUCAUCCCCAUAUUGUUUUUAUUUAAUUUUCUGCUCUUUUGCACACCAGUAUUUCUACUUCCACAUCAUCAUCUGCACAUCUAUCACUCCAGUGUUAAUUUGCUAAAUUGUAAUUACUUGUUACUAUGCCCUAUUUAUUGCCUUACCUUCUCACGCCAUUUGCACACACUGUAUAUAGACUUUCUUUUUUUCUAUUGUGUUAUUGACUGUACGCUUGUUUAUUCCAUGUGUAACUCUGUGUUGUUGUUUGUGUCGCCCUGCUUUUCUUUAUCUUGGCCAGGUUGCAGUUGUAAAUGAGAACUUGUUCUCAACUAAUGUACCUGUCAAAUAAAGGUGAAAUAAUAAUAUAUAUAUAUUUUUUAAAUCACUGCAUUAAAUCUCUGCAAGUCAUUCUAUUUGAUUUAUUUAUUGAACCUUUAUUUAACUAGGCAAGUCAGUUAAGAAGAAAUUCUUAUUUACAAUGGCGGCCUACCAAGGAUAAGUGGGUUAACUGCCUUGUUCAGGGGCUGAACGACAGAUUUUUUACCUUGUCAGCUCGGGGAUUCAAUCCAGCAACAUUUCUACCCUUUCUAACCACUAGGCUAUCUGCCGCCUCUAUAACUCCAAGCUAUGUAUUUGAGGUAUAUGGUUAUUUUAUGACUUGGGGUUGUUGGUUAUUGUUUUAAUAGACGUUACAUUACAGAAAGAAAGCACACUGCACCCAAAGGAAAUAUCUUAAGUUGACCGAUUGUGGGAAGUAUUAUAGUAUGACUACUGUUAGCUCAAGGGACGAAGCACUCUUUACCUCUCCUCUAGUCACCUGCUACUUCAUAGCCCUUGAUGUGACCCUAGAGUUAUACAAUUUAAAGCUAAAACAAAUCUAUAGCUGUAAAGUAUGUUGUCCCCAGAUAGGCAGAGGUCAAACAGACGGGGCAAAUAUUCACUAAUGGCCUGCUACAACGCUGCUGCAGAUGCUAUACCAUCCAGCUACAACGCUGCUGCAGAUGCUAUACCAUCCAGCGUCUUCUUCAAAGGGUCAGACCAAAUGUCUAACCUCAACUUAUUUGUUUCAGGUUACCCUUAUGAAGUGUUCCACUACUCAUCUGAAAUUGGGGAUUUGGACAAAACAUUUUUCAAAGGGUGGUAUCAUUUAUUUAAAUUUUUUCCCGUGAAGGACCGUCCGCUUGUCAGAGGAGAAACAGACCUACUUGACUCUGAUAUUAUCAAUGAAGCAGGCAGUGAUGGUGUGAUAUUGUUCAGGAUCUACCUGCCACCAGACUUUCCCCAUGUCCCGCAGCCACUAACCAUGGAGUUCUUUGGUCUCUUCAAGGCUGAGUUUUUCAGGGAUGCUUGUGACAUCCCCCCUCCUUAUAGGGACUUUGUCCUUAGGCACAUAGUUGCCACAGUGUUGAAGCAGAAAUAGGAUGCUUUUGAAACUGAGAGGACUGUGAAGGAUGGGUUCGGGAAGACAGGUAUCUUUCUAUUUGACUACCAUGUCAUGGCUAGGUCCGUAUGGUGUGGGAGGGAAAAGAUGAGGCCCGAGUUCGGUUCUGCUGGACCCUGUGAUGAUGGGCCAAAGAAAAAAUGACCCGAACUUGUGACAGACAAGGGUGACAGACAGUUCUUAUGACAAUAAGAAGGCAUUAAAGGUGGAAUCUGACGCCAAACCGGUGUUGCCUGGGUCGUUUCUGCCAGUUUCUCUGCCAUCAGAGUCUGUUAAGAAAGGAGAUAUUAGUAUUUUCCAAGAGAUCACAGCCAUGACUCCAUUGAGAGAUGGGAUGAGACUUCGGGCCCUGACGAUAUAUCGGAAGCGUCCCAGGAGUUAACAGAGGAAUCUUCAGACUUAUCAGACGGCCCUGAUGAAUCAAACAGAUUUAGAAUACGUUGACGAAGAAGAAGAGUUACCUGAAACUUCACAAGCUGUGAGAGGAAAAGCAUCUUCAAAGUCACUGCUGCCAGAGAAACAGUCACCUCAUGGUGAAACAUUUUUAAUUGCACUAUUGGGCCCAAUCUAAGUGUCUAACCACAGAAACACAGACUUGGUGGAUGAGUCUGGUGACAGCUCUGACGACGAGCCAUUGGUUAAGAUGAUCAGGAAGCUUCCAACAAACUGCCAGCUGAGCGAGAGAGUGAAGGCACUGCUGAAAUACACAGACAUGGCGGAUGUGACAAUGAAGCAAAUCUACAAUAGAGUGUUUGAGAGGUGCCCCCGGUAUGACCUGUCUAACAAGAAGGACAUCAUCAAGCAGACAGUGAAAGAGGGGAUUUCUUUACAACCCAGGGUUUUAAUCAAGCCAUAUUCAUAGCUUUGACAGAUAACAUUAUAAUCCAUGAUCUCAGGAGAACAUAGUUGAUAUCGUGACAGACUCGGGGAUUCCUGUAUAUGCCUUUCCAGGAUGUUUCAUUUAUAUUUUAUACAUACAUAUUCA
ensembl:lncRNA